CAUCCUGCUGUCUCAGGUGCCACAGAUAUCCUACUGUUUUGGAUGCCCUGCCUCUAUGCAGUCAGGCUAACCCCACACUCAAAUGCUUGCACUGCUAUUACAGACAAGCACGUGAGAUCAGAGAAGGGACCCCUGUGGACUCAGCUGAGGGAUGUGACAGGGGACAGCCCCUGCCGUGGCUCUGUGCUUGUCCCCAAGAAUGGCCACAGGUCCUGCGUGUGACCAACAAGGCAGAAUUGCUAGGAGCGGGGUCCACUUUGCCCGGCAUAACAUUCUCUGAAAUCCUCCCCUCACCAUGCAUUGGCUUGCGUCCUGCUGUUUGGAAGUCCUGUCUUCUGUCCCAGCAUUCACCUGGAAAUCCGUGGUGACCACUGCUCCUGCUGUGACCCAUCUUCCAGGGGGCUGGGGGCGGACUGUGCAGGUGGGCAGUGCUGCUUCUUCCUGCCUGGGCUGCUAACCACUCCAUCUCCAGCACCCACAGCAGUGUCUGCAUGAAGAUGACGCUCAAUACGUGUGGAAUGUGGGCAUGACCGUGGUUCAGGAGCUCACAGGGCUCGGCACGUGACUCCAGUCAGUCCAAGGGGUACUGACGUGGCUCAAACCAGUCCUUCAGAGUUCUUCCUGGGAAGCAAAGGGAAAGAAAGCUUCCUGUCCCCUUCAGGUCACCAUCUGUAAGGACAGAGACUUUGGGCUGCCAGCAGCCGUCUCUCCCUCCAGAUGAAGAGGCCCAUUUGCGGCCCAAGGGCCCAGUGGCAGCGGAAGGAGAGGAGCGGUGCUGACGGAUGGAGACUUGGAAGGAGGAAGAGACAGCCCCUGAAUCCAGCUGUUGUGAAAGUUGCCCUUAGAAGUACAAGAGAGAAUACACAAGGUAUUCUUCAGGUACUAGCUGCUCUUCAGGAAGAUUUGCCUCCCUGGUAUAUUAGAGAAUUGCUACAAGAUGCUACAAGGGGGGCCUGUGCCGCUUCUCUGUUCUCUCCCAGCUCUGGAUGUUGCUGUGGUGAUGUGACACCAGGAGCAGUGGCAGCUCUUUUAGGAUCAGGAAGUAAAAUGCUUCGGAAUGUGGAACAUGACAAGAACCGUGGAGUAAAGAAGAGCCACAAAACCAAGCUUGAGACCCGACGCCUCCAGGCCUCCUGUUAGGUCAAUAAGUGUCCAUGUGAUUUAAGACAAUAUUAGGGUUUUCUCUCAUUUGAGUGUCGUGUAUAGCAACAGAGGCCCCAUCCUAGCCAACGAGGUGCUUGGUAUACAGGGAAUCAUCUUGAUAGGGUUUGGAUCUGUGUCCCCACCCAAAUCUCAUCUUCAAUUUUAAUUUCGGAUGCUGGAGGUGGGACCUGGUGGGAGAUGACUGGGCCCUGGGGACGGUUUCUAGUGGUUUAGUACCAUUCCCCUCGUGCUGUUCUGGUGAGUGAGUUCUCAUGAGAUCUCGCUGUUUUAAAGGGUGUGGUCCCUCCACCCCGCCCCCCGCCACCUCUUCCUCCUGCUCUGCCCAUGUUGAUGUGCCUGCUUCCCCUUCCUCUUCCACCAUAAGUGAAAGCUCCCUGAGACCUCUGCAGCCACUCAGGGAGGAACCAUGCAGCCUGCAGAACCAUGAGCCAGUGAAACUUCUUUUCUUUAUCAAUAACACAGCCUCAGGUAUUUCUUUACAGCAAUGUGAGAACAGACUAAAACAAGUCACGACCUUUCAGUCCCAGAGUCCACAUUCAUGAUCCCAACAGGGAAUGGAGGAAACUUCUCUCAUGCAUUCUCAGCAGAACCGAGCAGAAGGCAGGAGUCAGUUCCAACUGCGAAGAAUGAAGCAAACAGCCACAGCCCACAGGGACCUCACAGCUGGCCAAGUUCUCUGUAGAGAGUAAAAAGUUCCUUUUCAAAAUUUCCCUCCCUGUUAAAGAAUAAACCAUUAAGUGUUAGAAAUAACAGUUUCUUUUAAAGACUAACUUCCUUUAAGCCUCCUUACUUUAUGCUAGUAACUCUUUUUCGGACCCUAUUGUAUGUAGAUGUUAAACACGCUGACAGGCACGAAGUACGUUCCGUGUCCUUGUACCUUAACCAAGAUAAUUGUGCUGGACCUGCUCACCGGCACACUCCAGCUCGCAGCCUAUGCCCCUCCCCUAUUUGGCACAAGCAACUUCCUCUUUUCCUUUGUCUUUCCAUUACUUUUACCUAUUUAGAAAAGUUUUAAACUGUUAGCCAAUCGGGUUUUAGUUUAGAUUGUGCGGCCUGGCUCCAGCCAAUGGAGACUGGACACAGUAGCAGGGACAUACUGCAUAAGGAAUAAAAAUUGCUUCCCUCCUUUGUU